rnacentral:rRNA from 1 species
UACGUAGGGUGCAAGCGUUGUCCGGAAUUAUUGGGCGUAAAGAGCUCGUAGGCGGUCUGUCGCGUCUGCUGUGAAAAUCCAGGGCUCAACCCUGGACCUGCAGUGGGUACGGGCAGACUAGAGUGCGGUAGGGGAGAUCGGAAUUCCUGGUGUAGCGGUGAAAUGCGCAGAUAUCAGGAGGAACACCGGUGGCGAAGGCGGAUCUCUGGGCCGUAACUGACGCUGGAGGAGCGAAAGCGUGGGGAGCGAACAGG